rnacentral:rRNA from 1 species
AGUGAACGCUGGCGGUAGGCCUAACACAUGCAAGUCGAACGGCAGCACAGUAAGAGCUUGCUCUUACGGGUGGCGAGUGGCGGACGGGUGAGGAAUACAUCGGAAUCUACUUUUUCGUGGGGGAUAACGUAGGGAAACUUACGCUAAUACCGCAUACGACCUACGGGUGAAAGCAGGGGAUCUUCGGACCUUGCGCGAUUGAAUGAGCCGAUGUCGGAUUAGCUAGUUGGCGGGGUAAAGGCCCACCAAGGCGACGAUCCGUAGCUGGUCUGAGAGGAUGAUCAGCCACACUGGAACUGAGACACGGUCCAGACUCCUACGGGAGGCAGCAGUGGGGAAUAUUGGACAAUGGGCGCAAGUCUGAUCCAGCCAUACCGCGUGGGUGAAGAAGGCCUUCGGGUUGUAAAGCCCUUUUGUUGGGAAAGAAAAGCAGCAGGUUAAUACCCCGCUGUUCUGACAGUACCCAAAGAAUAAGCACCGGCUAACUUCGUG